rnacentral:rRNA from 1 species
UAAUACGAGAGGCCCAAACGUUAUUCGGAUUUACUGGGCUUAAAGAGUUCGUAGGCGGCUUGGAAAGUGGGGUGUGAAAGCCCUCGGCUCAACCGAGGAAUUGCGCUCCAAACUACCGAGCUUGAGGAAGCUAGAGGUGAGCAGAACAGAUGGUGGAGCGGUGAAAUGCGUUGAUAUCAUCUGGAAUACCGGAGGCGAAGGCGGCUCACUGGGACUUUUCUGACGCUGAGGAACGAAAGCCAGGGUAGCGAACGGGAUUAGAUACCCCGGUAGUCCUGGCCGUAAACGGUGAGCACUGGACCGAGGGCCUGCACAGGCCCCCGGUCGUAGCGAAAGUGUUAAGUGCUCCGCCUGGGGAGUAUGGUCGCAAGGCUG